rnacentral:rRNA from 1 species
CGGCGGACGGGUUAGUAACGCGUGGGAACAUACCCUUUUCUACGGAAUAGCCUCGGGAAACUGAGAGUAAUACCGUAUAAGCCCUUCGGGGGAAAGAUUUAUCGGGAAAGGAUUGGCCCGCGUUAGAUUAGAUAGUUGGUGGGGUAAUGGCCUACCAAGUCUACGAUCUAUAGCUGGUUUUAGAGGAUGAUCAGCAACACUGGGACUGAGACACGGCCCAGACUCCUACGGGAGGCAGCAGUGGGGAAUCUUAGACAAUGGGCGCAAGCCUGAUCUAGCCAUGCCGCGUGAGUGAUGAAGGUCUUAGGAUCGUAAAGCUCUUUCGCUAGGGAUGAUAAUGACAGUACCUAGUAAAGAAGCCCCGGCUAACUCCGUGCCAGCAGCCGCGGUAAUACGGAGGGGGCUAGCGUUGUUCGGAAUUACUGGGCGUAAAGCGUACGUAGGCGGAUCAGAAAGUAUGGGGUGAAAUCCCAGGGCUUAACCCUGGAACUGCCUCAUAAACUCCUGGUCUUGAGUUCGAGAGAGGUGAGUGGAAUUGCGAGUGUAGAGGUGAAAUUCGUAGAUAUUCGCAGGAACACCAGUGGCGAAGGCGGCUCACUGGCUCGAUACUGACGCUGAGGUACGAAAGUGUGGGGAGCAAACAGGAUUAGAUACCCUGGUAGUCCACACCGUAAACGAUGAAUGCCAGUCGUCGGGCAGUAUACUGUUCGGUGACACACCUAACGGAUUAAGCAUUCCGCCUGGGGAGUACGGUCGCAAGAUUAAAACUCAAAGGAAUUGACGGGGGCCCG